CUCUAUAAAAGUUUAAAACUCACCUUCGCGGGUCUGCCGGGCGCUGGCUCCGCCCCCUUUGUCACAUCAUCAAAAUGGCUGAUUUUUAGCCAAUCCAAUGCUGAAAAGGCAGUGUUUACAUGAGUGCCUAAAGGGAGCUAUUAUACUCACCAGAAUAAUUACAAUAAGCUGUAGUUGUUCUGGCGACUAUAGUGUCCCUUUAAGGAUUUAGAGCCUAACCUGUUUAGGAUCUAAAUUAAAUUUUUAUAGUUACCACUAACCCUAUACACCCACCCCCCUCCCCACUAAAGAUAUACCAAUCAUAUACCCUAAGCCAAGACUAACACUAAUUAACCCUAAUCUUACACUUAACUCUACAUAAUCUUUAACCCUAAAACCGCAUUAACUUUUGCCCAGCAGUUGCCCUAACUUUACCCCUACCCCAACACUAAUUGUAUCCCACCCUACUCUUACCCCUAACCCUAAUGUAACCCACUGCUAAUAUCAAUUUUGAUAUUAGAACUGGGUUUUACUGUAUUGAACAGUAGAUGGUGCUAUGUUGCCACAAUCUACUGGCCAUUUUCAGAAUUGCACUUUGUAUAUGUGGCUGGGAAUCACUCAUUCAGGAUUACACGGAGAUUAGAGCUGGGAACCUGACUAAGUCCAGCACAGCUCACAAUCGGUUGGGGGCAGGCUGAAAAACCCUACCAGUUUGUCCCCAGGCAGCAGAGCUGCCUGAAGCCCAGAUAAACUGUGCCUGAGUGCGGUUGCUCCCCUGCAGUAUUAUGAAUGAGUUAAAGGGCUCUGUGCUGCAAGCUCAGCUCAAGAGUCUGGGGUUACAAAAUAUGGACCCAGCAGAGUGGAGCCCCAGGUAUCCAUUGAUAUCUGGGGUUCCCUGGUAAGAGAGAUAUGGUGAUCUGUUCUUGACCUUUCCGAGGUAUUGGGGAGAAGAAUCUCUUAACAGCACAUUUUGUUCAACCACAACAGUCUAGUGACAGCUCUUCCAAACACCAUUUAUAUACUGUAUUUAAUUUCCGAAGUGAUACAGAUUAUACAGGCUGAUAAAUUUAAGGCCGGAAAAACAAAAUGAGAAAAUGUACAAAAAAUAACCAUUAAAGCCUAUUUCAGAAAAAAAUAAAAUAAAAGAUCUAUGUCUACUUAUGAUACAAUCUUCCCAAUUUUGCCUUUAGUUCAAUAUAACUGCUUUCUACAGCAUGUGGGGAAAAAUAUUACAUUUGAAGAAGUGCUAUGGCCUUGAGUCAGAAAUGUUAUGUCAGUAUUAGAUUUUCAGUGUUUUGACCUUCAAAAAUAAUUUUAUGAUAUAUAUUUACUUUAACCUAAGCAGAUGGUG